rnacentral:rRNA from 1 species
GAUGAACGCUGGCGGCGUGCCUAAUACAUGCAAGUCGAGCGAAUGGAUUGAGAGCUUGCUCUUAUGAAGUUAGCGGCGGACAGGUGAGUAACACGUGGGUAACCUGCCCAUAAGACUGGGAUAACUCCGGGAAACCGGGGCUAAUACCGGAUAACAUUUUGAACCGCAUGGUUCGAAAUUGAAAGGCGGCUUCGGCUGUCACUUAUGGAUGGACCUGCGUCGCAUUAGCUAGUUGGUGAGGUAACGGCUCACCAAGGCAACGAUGCGUAGCCGACCUGAGAGGGUGAUCGGCCACACUGGGACUGAGACACGGCCCAGACUCCUACGGGAGGCAGCAGUAGGGAAUCUUCCGCAAUGGACGAAAGUCUGACGGAGCAACGCCGCGUGAGUGAUGAAGGCUUUCGGGUCGUAAAACUCUGUUGUUAGGGAAGAACAAGUGCUAGUUGAAUAAGCUGGCACCUUGACGGUACCUAACCAGAAAGCCACGGCUAACUACGUGCCAGCCGCCGCAGUAA